CUGGCAAAUAUUUUCCAACUUUCAGCCUAAUAUCAGGCACAAUAUAUAAUGGAAAUCGUAGUGUGAAUAUAGACAUCAUUUUGGUACUUCAAAGUUGAGACAGCUUAUGUUCACAUCGUUAUCGAAGGUAUGAAUAUAUACACACACACUGUAUGAUCAAACAAACCACAGAACCAUUUGCGUUUGUGACGUUUUAGUUCCUCUCAAAUACUACCACUUGUUUAACUAGUACGAAAACCUCUUGUCUGCUUCAUGUGACAGUUUAAUAUCAGUCUCAGAUGAAUAUGCAUUUUUAUAGCAGAAAUAGAGGCACAGAACGAUUGCUGUUUGUAUAGCUUAAUUGUUACAUGUUUAAAAAUUAUAAUAAUAAAAUAAGCAGUUCUUGCUGGGCUCAUAGGACACCAGGAAAUAAUAAAAACGAAUCUAAGAUCCUAUGCAAUAUUAAAAUUUUGGUUAUGUCAAUAAUUUGUGCCACUGCAGCCAACUGCUGGAGCACAGCUACUUGAAUUUUCCACAAGAAUGGAUGCCACUGACCACCAAGAAUGGAUGCCACAAAUGGAACAUUUAAAAUAUAUUCAACAUAACUAUAAAAUUAUUUUCAGUUAAAUCUAGCAUUAGUGUUACACUGUAAAUCAUCCAUAAUUAUCACAGGUGUACAGAGAGUACACUUUUCAACCCCCUCCCACAGCGACUUAACCGAUGAAUAUUGGUUAUGAACCCGCCUACCUGAAGCAUAUAGUUUGUACACUUCAGGAAAUGUUGGUAGUUUUGGACAACCCAUAAUUGAAUUUCAUUAGCCUUUACAUCAUUGUGAAUUACCAUUUGCAUGCAUGUAACACUAACAGCAUGAUCUUUAUUCCAUACCAUAUAGGAAAAAUUGAACACACCUGUCCUGCAGAGCUAGUACAAAUUUACAUUAGCAACUAUUGAAUCAGUGAGGGAGGUAUAAUAAAGCAAGUGUUUAAAUAAAUGCAGCCAAAUCAAAAUUGUUUGUCUCCACACUACACUUCCUCAUCAAUGGACAGCUCAAUGAGAACAAAUGUUGUGGACAACUGUGGGUUGGACAUUGCAGGCUGGCUGCACAUUUUGCAAUGAUGUACAUGCAGGAGAUCGGUUGUUGAAGCAUGAAUGAAAUCGAUUUCAAAAAAGCUCCAAGGCUUACUUUAUGAGAAUGGGUCAUUCCAGAAAACAUCCAUACCACCCCCACAGAGGAAAUAGGAAGUUAACCCCCUUCAGAUGUCCUAAUACAUUUACUAUUAUCAGAAACAAUUUUUUCUCCCCUCCCCCUCCAGACGGCAGAAAUUUCCUCCAUGGGGGGAGUAUGGAUCUUUUCUGGAACGACCCAAUUCAUUUUCCAUAUGAGUGAGAGUUCCUAUCAGCCGCAUGUGAGGAUGCAUAUUACCACCUCUUUUCUUUACCCUUGCACAGUACAGAGAAGGAAAAACAAAGACCAGAUUUUGAACCAAGUAACUUUGUUAUUUAACUUAAAACAGCACUGUAUAUAACUUUAAAUACUGUAAAAAAUGAAAUAUCAGCUAAAUACUAAUUCAGUAAGAAUUGUCUUGGUAUGGAAAUAUCUUGUUCUGUUGUAUAUGCAUUGUUGAAUUGCCAUGUCACUUUCUUGAGUAUUACCAGAAUAUUAAGUAUAGUUGAGCCAGCUUCCUAAUAUUAUGGAAUCUAGGAUAGUUGUUGACUUUGCGGUUUUCUUAAUAAUCUCAUAUUAGCAACAUUCCUAGAUGCGAAGACUAACAGCAUUCCCAUCCCCAUUAAGUUGUACAUAUACAGUUGCAGUCUUCUUGACAGUUCUUGUUUUAUCCAUAUUGAAAUUUGAGAAGCACGAAUAUCUAA
rnacentral:lncRNA from 1 species